ACACAGCCGAGCAUUUACAGUGAAAUCUUGUUCUGCGCCGAUUUAAACGUCUCAGUGCUUUUUCUUCUGUGUAAGGAAAUAAUGCUGAUAUAAUUUCUUCUAUAGUUCAAAUCUAGUGGGGGGUCGGGGGGUGACGUCAGGCCCCAUCAGGCUGACAGACCUCCUAUUGGACCAGUGGAGGCUUUUAAAGGAGCAGACAGCAGCGCACCGGAGGCUCGUGCUCCUCUUCAGACGAGCCGCUCUUCCAUCCAUCCAACCCGGCGGCGGCGGCGGCAGCGGCAACAGCAGCGGAGCCGGACUGACCGCAGCCAGAUGUGACGAUGAGGAGGACGCAGCGUGCACGGUGCAGACAGACCUGCAAAGAUAUCAACAGGGUCGAUGCAGAGUUCUUUAGCGAGAGGCAAAAUGCUUCCUCGUCCACCUGCACACUGUGAGUAACUGUCAGCAUGUCGGCCAUCUGCCGCCUCGUUUUUCUCUACGCGCUGCAUUGUGUUGUUUCUCUGAUUGGAAUGUUUGGAGUGGGCCUACGCGUAUGUAUUCCUGUUCUUUUUUCCCUGAAUGUUAGACCAUUUUUGCACGUUUCUUCAUGUGUGAAGUCUCUUACGAGUCUGCAUGCAGGUGUGAAUUUGGGCAUGCUCUGAGGUGAUGUACUUGCCUUGUUACGCGCACAACUUCUGUGGGUUUAAAUGAUUUUGUAUUCUUUAUAACCUCUUUCUCAUUGUGCAUGUGUGCUUGUUUUGUGUGUGUGUGUGUGUAUGGAGCUGUGUGCAGCAUGCUACUUCAAGCAUGAUUUGUGUUUCCUAGGUAUAUGUGUGUGUCCUUGUGUGUCUCCGUAUGUAUGUGUGUUUAUAAUCCACGGCCAUUCAAUAGCACCACAUGGAUCCAUCCCAUAUCCUGGUCACCAUGGUUACCGGGGCCACUUAUCACAGAGGGUCCCGGCAGAUCAAACAGGUGUGCAUCCUGACGAUGUCUCUCCUCGACGACUGUUGCUAGGAACCUUUGUUGCACACAACGCACAGGUGCUUGUUGCUGCCAGUGAAAACCAGCAGGAGUGAAAAAACAUUGUCUUGAUGUCCCAGUCUGAACUAUGUGUGUGUGUGUGUCCGUUAGUAUGUGUAAGUGUGUGUGUUCUUAUACUUGUUGUCCUCCACUGCAAUUUAGUUCUUCUGAAAGAGGACGUGUUUUUUUUUUUUUUUUCAAAAAAAGAGAAAAAAAUAGGUCGUUUUGUGGGUCAUCACUACAUCAAGCUGCUACUUUAGGAGCUGGAGUUGGAUUUAGGUUUCAGAUAGGGACAAGAGUUGGAGUUUAAGGCCCCUGAAAAUUU